rnacentral:rRNA from 1 species
UGGGGAAUAUUGGACAAUGGGCGAAAGCCUGAUCCAGCCAUGCCGCGUGUGUGAAGAAGGUCUUCGGAUUGUAAAGCUCUUUAAGUUGGGAGGAAGGGCAGUAAGCGAAUACCUUGCCGUUUUGACGUUACCGACAGAAUAAGCACCGGCUAACUCUGUGCCAGCAGCCGCGGUAAUACAGAGGGUGCAAGCGUUAAUCGGAAUUACUGGGCGUAAAGCGCGCGUAGGUGGUUCGUUAAGUUGAAUGUGAAAGACCCGGGCUCAACCUGGGAACUGCAUCCAAAGCUGGGGAGGUAGAGUAGGGCAGAGGGUGGUGGAAUUUCCUGUGUAGCGGUGAAAUGCGUAGAUAUAGGAAGGAAGACCAGUGGCGAAGACGACCACCUGGGCUCAUACUGACACUGAGGUGCGAAAGCGUGGGGAGCAAACAGG